ensembl:lncRNA
GUUUUUGGGUGCUGCUGCAGAUGAAGGCUGUCAGUAUGUGACUGGAAUUGUGGGUAAAAACCCGUUACUCCUGAGAGAGCUGAAUCUGAGGGGACAUAAACUAGGAGACACAGGAGUGAAUCAGAUCUCUGCUCUACUGCAGGAUAAACACUGUACACUCAACACACUGAUGUUAAGCCGCUGUUAUUUGACAGAAGAAGGUUGUUCUGCUGUGACUUCAGCUCUGAAAUCAAACCCAUCACACCUGACAGAACUGAACCUGAGCAGGAAUAAACUAGGAGACUCUGGAGUGAAUAACCUCAGUGAUCUACUGAUGAACACACAAUUCAAGCUGGAGAAACUAGAGUUAGUAUCAUUAUACUCUACAGCAGUUACAUUGAGAUUAAAGAUUACUGUUUACUUUCAGGAAAAGGAAAGGAAAGGAUGUGACGUGUGGCCAAGAAAAGUGUCCCAUACACUGAACUUGUGCUCUGCAUUUAACCCCCCCCACACACACACCUGUGUCGCCCAGGGAGCAGCUGGGGUUCGGUUCUUGCUCAAGGGUCUCAUCUCAGUCGUGGUAUUGAUGGUGGAAGAGAGCGCUGGAUAUUCACUCUCUCCACCUACAAUCCCUGCUCGACCUGAGACUCGAACCCAUGACCUUCAGGUUACAAGCCCAACGCUCUCACCAUUAGGCCACGACUGCCCCCAAUAACACAAAAACAGAAGAAAAAAAGAUUAACCCCUUAACUGUCACUCACAUUUUUAAACUUGUAAAGUGCACGAUCCAAACUUAAUUUUUUUAUAAUUCAUGAAUGAAAACAUUUUGUAACAUGAUAUUGAUGUACCAUUUUCAUGGUAAUGCAAUGUCUGAUUUUAAAAAUGGGUUUCAAAGGAUGAAUUUUGAGAUUUUAAGUUUUCAGUUGAUCUAUAAUUUCUGAUUAUUUCUAAAGUGUGAUAGAGAAAAAGGCAACGAAAAAUACUUUUUUUUUUGACAAAGGUCAGAACUCCUGUUUUGAUGUAGAUUUUUAAGGGUGCACUCUUGUCAUAAAUUAAACUAUUACUUUUCCUACAUAAUUUUUAACAAAAAACACUGGUAAAAUAUCUAUUUAGGAGUCUGAGACCUUUCCAACGAGAAGACCGCAACCGCCGAUUUUGUCCACCCAGAGUUAAAAGCUCAGACAGGUACUCAGGUGCUAGCCCAUUCAGAGCUUUAAAAACAAACAAUAAAAUCUUAAAAUCAAUCCUAAAAAGGAAGCCA